GCUCUCCGUCAUCUCAACCUUGUUCCACACCUGCUCGGGCCUUUUAAAGAAUUUUUCUACUUUUAACUGAACUUUGGACUAGAUAAUCUAGAGCGAGUUUAACGUGCUCUCUAGAUAGGGCUGGGCAAUAAAUUAAAAAUGUAUCGUUAUCGAAAUUUUUGACUUUAAUCGAGAUUAUUUUUCCCAUGUCAACAAAUCUGAUAAUAAAAAAAAAGAAAAAAAUGUGUGUAGGACGGCAACGUUCAUAUUCCUUUAAGAAGCUGUACCACCUUGAGUCAUGUAAAAAUGUGACUCAAUGUAAUGUGACAGCCCCAUCUAGUGGACAACUUUUGUUUCUGUGCCUACCUGUAGUUAUCGUCAAUUUAUCGUUAUCGAGGUGAAGUCCCCAAUAUAUCGUGAUAUUAAUUUUAGGCCAAAUCGCCCAGCCCUCCUCUCUUGUAUACCAUCGGCAUGCUCAGUGUUUAGUGUGUUCCCCGGAAUGUGUGUACACAAGUAUUUCAACAGUUUAGAGUAGAGCUGAAACAACUAAUCGAUUUAAUCGAUUAUAAUCGAUUAUUAAAAUAGUUAACAACUUUUUUAGUCAUCGAUUAGUUGUUUAAUAAUCAUUUUACCGCAUAAAGUCUAUUUUUUACCACAAUCUGACAUUGGUUACAAUCUGUUAAAUUUGCCGCCAGUGUGUGGCAGUAAUGAGCCACUGAUCUACCAGUGGAGCCGUAGAAGAAGAAAUGAGCCAAUAAGUGCCCUCGGUUUUCAUGACGUAUCACGUUACUGACGCGCAUCUUGCUGUGAGAGAUGGCGGAACAACAACAAAUACGGAAGAAAAAUAGAAGCGACAAAACAAGAGAAACCCCGGACAAAAACCUCACGAGUAUGGGAGCACUUCACUAGAUGCCUUGAAAAGACCGGUGACCUACAAAAUAUGCAAAAACCAUGGCACGACGGAAGCACGACGUCCCUAAGUGAACAUUUGAGACGAAAACGUGGGGGCUGAUGCAGCAGAGGAAUGUCCGAAAAAAACAAGCAACGAUGGACAACUACAUGGGGAACAAGACACUCACCCCCAGCAAUGCAUACCACUUACAAACUCUAUUCCAGAUUCUACAUUAUUUUUUAUGGAAUUUACCGCUUAUAUUUUGAUGCCAAAAAAUUAUUCUGGACUGAUAUUUUGCACUGUUUAGCUCAUUUUACACUGCUGACUGUGGUCAUGUGCAAUAAAAUAGAUUGCAGUCAACUGCACAA